rnacentral:rRNA from 1 species
CACAAGCAGUGGAGUAUGUGGUUUAAUUCGAAGCAACGCGAAGAACCUUACCAGGUCUUGACAUCCGAUGCAUAGCACAGAGAUGUGUGAAAUCCUUCGGGACAUCGAGACAGGUGGUGCAUGGUUGUCGUCAGCUCGUGUCGUGAGAUGUUGGGUUAAGUCCCGCAACGAGCGCAACCCUUAUGCCAGUACUACGUAAGA